rnacentral:rRNA from 1 species
AUUGAACAUAAGAGUUUGAUCCUGGCUCAGAUUGAACGCUGGCGGCAUGCUUUACACAUGCAAGUCGGACGGCAGCACAGGGAAGCUUGCUUCUCGGGUGGCGAGUGGCGAACGGGCGAGUAACAUAUCGGAACGUACCGGGUAGCGGGGGAUAACUGAUCGAAAGAUCAGCUAAUACCGCAUACGUCUUGAGAGGGAAAGCAGGGGACCUUCGGGCCUUGCGCUAUCCGAGCGGCCGAUAUCUGAUUAGCUGGUUGGCGGGGUAAAGGCCCACCAAGGCGACGAUCAGUAGCGGGUCUGAGAGGAUGAUCCGCCACACUGGGACUGAGACACGGCCCAGACUCCUACGGGAGGCAGCAGUGGGGAAUUUUGGACAAUGGGCGCAAGCCUGAUCCAGCCAUGCCGCGUGUCUGAAGAAGGCCUUCGGGUUGUAAAGGACUUUUGUCAGGGAAGAAAAGGCCGUUGCCAAUAUCGGCGGCCGAUGACGGUACCUGAAGAAUAAGCACCGGCUAACUACGUGCCAGCAGCCGCGGUAAUACGUAGGGUGCGAGCGUUAAUCGGAAUUACUGGGCGUAAAGCGGGCGCAGACGGUUACUUAAGCAGGAUGUGAAAUCCCCGGGCUCAACCCGGGAACUGCGUUCUGAACUGGGUGACUCGAGUGUGUCAGAGGGAGGUGGAAUUCCACGUGUAGCAGUGAAAUGCGUAGAGAUGUGGAGGAAUACCGAUGGCGAAGGCAGCCUCCUGGGAUAACACUGACGUUCAUGUCCGAAAGCGUGGGUAGCAAACAGGAUUAGAUACCCUGGUAGUCCACGCCCUAAACGAUGUCAAUUAGCUGUUGGGCAACUUGAUUGCUUGGUAGCGUAGCUAACGCGUGAAAUUGACCGCCUGGGGAGUACGGUCGCAAGAUUAAAACUCAAAGGAAUUGACGGGGACCCGCACAAGCGGUGGAUGAUGUGGAUUAAUUCGAUGCAACGCGAAGAACCUUACCUGGUUUUGACAUGUGCGGAAUCCUCCGGAGACGGAGGAGUGCCUUCGGGAGCCGUAACACAGGUGCUGCAUGGCUGUCGUCAGCUCGUGUCGUGAGAUGUUGGGUUAAGUCCCGCAACGAGCGCAACCCUUGUCAUUAGUUGCCAUCAUUCGGUUGGGCACUCUAAUGAGACUGCCGGUGACAAGCCGGAGGAAGGUGGGGAUGACGUCAAGUCCUCAUGGCCCUUAUGACCAGGGCUUCACACGUCAUACAAUGGUCGGUACAGAGGGUAGCCAAGCCGCGAGGCGGAGCCAAUCUCACAAAACCGAUCGUAGUCCGGAUUGCACUCUGCAACUCGAGUGCAUGAAGUCGGAAUCGCUAGUAAUCGCAGGUCAGCAUACUGCGGUGAAUACGUUCCCGGGUCUUGUACACACCGCCCGUCACACCAUGGGAGUGGGGGAUACCAGAAGUAGGUAGGGUAACCGCAAGGAGUCCGCUUACCACGGUAUGCUUCAUGACUGGGGUGAAGUCGUAACAAGGUAGCCGUAGGGGAACCUGCGGCUGGAUCACCUCCUUUCUAG